AUUGAACGCUGGCGGCAGGCCUAACACAUGCAAGUCGAACGAGUGGCGGACGGGUGCGUAAUGUAUGGGAAACUGCCUGAUGGAGGGGGAUAACUACGGGAAACGGUAGCUAAUCCCGCAUACCCUCGGAGGUGCCCGGAUGGGAUUAGCUUGGAGGAGGGGUAAAGAGUCACCUAGGCGACGACCCGUAGCUGGUCUGAGAGGAUAAUCAGUCAAACUGGAACUGAGACACGGUCCAGAAUCCUACGGGAGGCAGCAGUGGGGAAUAGUGGACAAUGGGCGAAAGCCUGAUGCAGCCAGGCCGCGUGUGUGAAGAAGGUCUUCGGAUUGUAAAGCACUUUAAGUUGGGAGGCGUUACCAACAGAAUAAGCACCGGCUAACUGCGUGCCAGCAGCCGCGGUAAUAC
rnacentral:rRNA from 1 species